GACGAACGCUGGCGGCGUGCUUAACACAUGCAAGUCGAACGGAAAGGCCCAGCUUGCUGGGUGCUCGAGUGGCGAACGGGUGAGUAACACGUGGGUGAUCUGCCCCUAACUUCGGGAUAAGCUUGGGAAACUGGGUCUAAUACCGGAUAGGACAAUCGUUUAGUGUCGGUUGUGGAAAGUUUUUUCGGUUAGGGAUGAGCCCGCGGCCUAUCAGCUUGUUGGUGAGGUAAUGGCCUACCAAGGCGUCGACGGGUAGCCGGCCUGCGAGGGUGGACGGCCACAUUGGGACUGAGAUACGGCCCAGACUCCUACGGGAGGCAGCAGUGGGGAAUAUUGCACAAUGGGCGCAAGCCUGAUGCAGCGACGCCGCGUGGGGGAUGACGGCCUUCGGGUUGUAAACCUCUUUCGACAGGGACGAAGCUUUGGUGACGGUACCUGUAUAAGAAGCACCGGCUAACUACGUG
rnacentral:rRNA from 1 species